AAAAAAGGGAAAAAGGUCGGAACUUUCUUGCAAUCUCCUGUUUGGUUGACGGGAAAGUACAAGAAAACAAAAGAAAUUCAAAAAAAAAAAAGGAAACUUCGCUAUGGAUUUUGCUUAUAAUUUUACUGCUUUUUAAUCCUAAUUAUGAACAAUCUAUGGCUUAAAAAUAAUGAUAAAUAAUGGGAAAUUUUUAACUUAUGC
rnacentral:misc_RNA from 1 species